GAUAACCUACGGGACGCAGCAGUGGGGAAUAUUGGACAAUGGGGGGAACCCUGAUCCAGCGACGCCGCGUGAGUGAAGAAGUAUUUCGGUAUGUAAAGCUCUAUCAGCAGGGAAGAAAGAAAUGACGGUACCUGACUAAGAAGCCCCGGCUAACUACGUGCCAGCAGCCGCGGUAAUACGUAGGGGGCAAGCGUUAUCCGGAUUUACUGGGUGUAAAGGGAGCGUAGACGGCGAUGCAAGUCUGAAGCGAAAGCCCAAGGCUCAACCAUGGGACUGCUUUGGAAACUGUUAAGCUAGAGUGCUGG
rnacentral:rRNA from 1 species